CUUCAGCGUGUUAAACCGG
rnacentral:piRNA from 1 species